UACGAAGGGGGCUAGCGUUGUUCGGAUUUACUGGGCGUAAAGGGCGCGUAGGCGGUUCUAUAAGUCAGAUGUGAAAGCCCCGGGCUUAACCUGGGAGGUGCAUUUGAAACUGUAGGGCUUGAGAUCGAGAGAGGAAAGUGGAAUUACGAGUGUAGAGGUGAAAUUCGUAGAUAUUCGUAAGAACACCAGUGGCGAAGGCGACUUUCUGGCUCGAUACUGACGCUAAGGCGCGAAAGCGUGGGGAGCAAACAGG
rnacentral:rRNA from 1 species